UACAGAGGUCUCAAGCGUUUGUUCGGAUUCAUUGGGCGUAAAGGGUGCGUAGGCGGCGCGGUAAGUCGGGUGUGAAAUCUUGGAGCUUAACUCCGAAACUGCAUUCGAUACUGCCGUGCUUGAGGACUGGAGAGGAGACUGGAAUUUACGGUGUAGCGGUGAAAUGCGUAGAUAUCGUAAGGAAGACCAGUGGCGAAGGCGGGGUCUCUGGACAGUUCCUGACGCUGAGGCACGAAGGCCAGGGGGAGCAAACGGG
rnacentral:rRNA from 1 species